rnacentral:rRNA from 1 species
UACAGAGGGGUGCAAGCGUUUAAUCGGAAUUACUGGGCGUAAAGCGUGCGUAGACGGUUAUUUAAGUCAGGUGUGAAAGCCCCGGGCUCAACCUGGGAAUUGCAUUUGAGACUGAAUAGCUAGGGUGCGGAAGAGGGAAGCGGAAUUUCCGGUGUAGCGGUGAAAUGCGUAGAUAUCGGAAGGAACACCAGUGGCGAAAGCGGCUUCCUGGUCCAGCACCGACGUCAGGCACGAAAGCGUGGGGAGCAAACAGG